rnacentral:rRNA from 1 species
GGAAAAGAAAUCAACCGAGAUUCCCCCAGUAGCGGCGAGCGAACGGGGAGGAGCCCAGAGCCUGAAUCAGCAUGUGUGUUAGUGGAAGCGUCUGGAAAGGCGCGCGAUACAGGGUGACAGCCCCGUACACAAAAGCGCAUGUGCUGUGAGCUCGAUGAGUAGGGCGGGACACGUGGUAUCCUGUCUGAAUAUGGGGGGACCAUCCUCCAAGGCUAAAUACUCCUGACUGACCGAUAGUGAACCAGUACCGUGAGGGAAAGGCGAAAAGAACCCCGGCGAGGGGAGUGAAAAAGAACCUGAAACCGUGUACGUACAAGCAGUGGGAGCACAGGUUUACCUGUGUGACUGCGUACCUUUUGUAUAAUGGGUCAGCGACUUAUAUUCUGUAGCAAGGUUAACCGAAUAGGGGAGCCGGAGGGAAACCGAGUCUUAAUUGGGCGUUAAGUUGCAGGGUAUAGACCCGAAACCCGGUGAUCUAGCCAUGGGCAGGUUGAAGGUUGGGUAACACUAACUGGAGGACCGAACCGACUAAUGUUGAAAAAUUAGCGGAUGACCUGUGGCUGGGGGUGAAAGGCCAAUCAAACCGGGAGAUAGCUGGUUCUCCCCGAAAGCUAUUUAGGUAGCGCCUCGUGAAUUCAUCUCCGGGGGUAGAGCACUGUUUCGGCUAGGGGGCCAUCCCGGCUUACCAACCCGAUGCAAACUGCGAAUACCGGAGAAUGUUAUCACGGGAGACACACGGCGGGUGCUAACGUCCGUCGUGAAGAGGGAAACAACCCAGACCGCCAGCUAAGGUCCCAAAGUCAUGGUUAAGUGGGAAACGAUGUGGGAAGGCCCAGACAGCCAGGAUGUUGGCUUAGAAGCAGCCAUCAUUUAAAGAAAGCGUAAUAGCUCACUGGUCGAGUCGGCCUGCGCGGAAGAUGUAACGGGGCUAAACCAUGCACCGAAGCUGCGGCAGCGAACGUAUCACCCAAGACAACUUUACGGAGUUGACGAUUGACGGAGCGAAGCGACGUCAAAGCGUUCAUUAAAGUCGAGUUGGCUUAGGGAUACGUUCGUUGGGUAGGGGAGCGUUCUGUAAGCCUGUGAAGGUGUGUCGUGAGGCAUGCUGGAGGUAUCAGAAGUGCGAAUGCUGACAUAAGUAACGAUAAAGCGGGUGAAAAGCCCGCUCGCCGGAAGACCAAGGGUUCCUGUCCAACGUUAAUCGGGGCAGGGUGAGUCGACCCCUAAGGCGAGGCCGAAAGGCGUAGUCGAUGGGAAACGGGUUAAUAUUCCCGUACUUGGUGUUACUGCGAAGGGGGGACGGAGAAGGCUAUGUUGGCCGGGCGACGGUUGUCCCGGUUUAAGCGUGUAGGUGUGUGUUCCAGGUAAAUCCGGUUCACUUUAACACUGAGGCGUGACGACGAGGCACUACGGUGCUGAAGCAACAAAUGCCCUGCUUCCAGGAAAAGCCUCUAAGCAUCAGGUAACAUCAAAUCGUACCCCAAA